CUAUCAGUCUUAAAGAUCCACUGAGUACCAAUCCCACACAACAUGGAGUGGGUGUGGAGGAUCCUUUUCCUGUUGGUAGCUAUGCCAGGUGCCCAUGCUCAGGUCAAGCUGGAACAGUCUGGGGCUGAGCUGAAACAGCCUGGCCAGUCAGUGAAGAUCUCCUGCAAGGCCUCAGGGUACACAUUUACCGAAUACGGAAUGAACUGGGUGAAGCAGCCAGCAGGAAAGGGUCUGCAGUGGAUGGGCUGGAUCAACACCAACACUGGAAACCCAACUUAUGCUGAGGACUUCAAAGGACGAUUUGUCUUCUCCAUGGACGCCUCCAUCAGCACU